rnacentral:piRNA from 1 species
UGCAAGCUGAGGAGCAAGGAGAGCCAGUGC